AUGUGGGUCAGGGCGAGGUCGACGAGCGCGUCGACCGUGGCGGGGUCGUACGCGUCCGAACCGAGGCGGCCGGAGGAGUGCGCUGAAGUGGAGCGUCUUGCGAACGGUGAGGAGCGGGAAGAGAACGUCGCGCUGGGUGACGUAGCCGCAGAGGCGGCGCAGGGCCACAGUGUUGACCGGGGAGCCAUUGACGCGGAGGUCAGUAGGAGGGGAGGAGCUCGGUUUGAGACGGCCGGAAAGGAUCUCGAGCAGCAUGGACUUGACGUCUCCGCAGGGCCCGACGAUGGCGAGCAGCUCACCGGGGCGGGCGUGGCAGAUGACGUUGCGAAGCACGAGGCGGCACCGGCUGCUGCCGCUCACUGGCGGAGGGGCAUGUGCAGUACGGCCGCUGGCGGCAUCGAGGAGAAAACGUGA
rnacentral:rRNA from 1 species